GAAAGUAAGUAAGGGCGUAUGGGGGAUGCCUAGGCUCUUGGAGGCUAAGAAGGACGUGGUAAGCUGCGAAAAGCUGCGGGGAUUUGCAAACGAGACUCGAUCCGCAGAUAUCCGAAUGGGACAACCCGGCAGGUAGAAGACCUGUCACACCGCGAGGUGAGCUAACCCUCUGAACUGAAACAUCUAAGUAGGAGGAGGAAAAGAAAGAAACAUCGAUUUCCAAAGUAGCGGCGAGCGAAAUGGAAGAAGCCCAAACCGAUAUUGUUACGGCAAUAUCGGGGUUGUAGGACUGCAAUAUUCAAUUAACAAUGAACUGGAAUGGUCUGGAAAGUCCAUCCAUAGAGAGUGAAAGGCUCGUACAGGUAAGUUUGUUAUGCGAAAGCAGUAUCCUGAGUAUGGCGGGACACGAGGAAUCCUGUCAGAAUCAGCCGGGACCACCCGGUAAGGCUAAAUACUCCCAAGAGACCGAUAGUGGACCAGUACUGUGAAGGAAAGGUGAAAAGAACCCCGAACAGGGGAGUGAAAUAGAACCUGAAACCAUACGCUUACAACCGGUCGGAGCAGCUUCGUGCUGUGACGGCGUGCCUAUUGAAUAAUGAGCCUACGAGUUACUAAUCACUAGCGAGGUUAAGUGCAAGGAUGCACGGAGCCGAAGCGAAAGCGAGUCUGAACAGGGCGUUUAGUUAGUGGUUGUAGACGCGAAACCUUGCGAUCUACCCUUGAGCAGGUUGAAGGUUGGGUAAAACCAACUGGAGGACCGAACGAAUAAGCGUUGAAAAGCUUCUCGAUGACUUGAGGGUAGGGGUGAAAGGCUAAUCAAGCUGGGAAAUAGCUCGUACUCCCCGAAAUGCCUUUUGGGGCAGCGUUGUAAUAAAGAGUCUACUGGAGGUAGAGCUACUGAUUGGAUGCGGGGGCUUCACCGCCUACCAAAUCCUGACAAACUCCGAAUGCCAGUAGUAUGAUUUACAGCAGUGAGUGACUGGGUGCUAAUGUCCAGUCGCAAAAGAGGAACAACUCAGACCAGCAACUAAGGUCCCGAAGAAUAUGCUAAGUUGAUCUAACGAUGUUUUGUUGCAGAGACAGCUAGGAUGUUAGCUUGGAAGCAGCUAUUCAUUCAAAGAGUGCGUAACAGCUCACUAGUCGAGCGACAGAGCGUGGAUAAUAAACGGGCAUCAAGCAUAUCACCGAAGUUCUGGGCGCGAGAGCGCGGUAGGGGAGCAUUCCAUUCAGCGUCGAAGCAGUUUCGUGAGGAAUUGUGGAGCGUAUGGAAAAGCAAAUGUAGGCAUGAGUAACGAUAAUGCGGGAGAGUAACCCGCACACCGCAAGACCAAGGUUUCCUGAUCAACGCUAAUCGGAUCAGGGUUAGUCGGGUCCUAAGGGUAAGCCGAACGGCGAUCUCGAUGGAUAAUCGGUUAAUAUUCCGAUACUAACAUAUACCUCGAUGGAGAGACGAAGGAACGUAAGUGCCGCCACCUGACGGAAUAGGUGGUUAAAGGGCGUAGGUAUAGGGGCAGAUUAAGAGUUAGUCCUUGCUGAAACCUGACAGUACAGAGAGCCUACGGGCAAUUUGAUAGAGCACCCAAGUCGACUUCCGAGAAAAUCUUCUAAGUUAUAGUAUAUGUUACCCGUACCGUAAACCGACACAGGUGGUCGAGGAGAGUAUCCUAAGGUGCUCGAGUGAAUCACGGUUAAGGAACUAGGCAAAUUAACCCCGUAACUUCGGGAAAAGGGGUCCCUAUGAAAGUAGGGCGCAGCGAAGAGGUCCAGGCGACUGUUUAUCAAAAACACAGGGCUCUGCAAAUUCGAAAGAAGACGUAUAGGGCCUGACACCUGCCCGGUGCUGGAAGGUUAAGAGGGGAUGUCAUCGCAAGAGAAGCAUUGAAUCGAAGCCCCAGUAAACGGCGGCCGUAACUAUAACGGUCCUAAGGUAGCGAAAUUCCUUGUCGGGUAAGUUCCGACCUGCACGAAUGGUGUAACGAUCUGGACACUGUCUCAAC
rnacentral:rRNA from 1 species